CCUACGGGAGGCAGCAGUGAGGAAUAUUGGUCAAUGGGCGAGAGCCUGAACCAGCCAUGCCGCGUGCAGGAAGAAGGAUCUAUGGUUUGUAAACUUCUUUUAUAUGGGGGUAAAGUGAGGAACGUGUUCCUUUUUGUAAGUAACAUACGAAUAAGCAUCGGCUAACUCCGUGCCAGCAGCCGCGGUAAUACGGCGGAUGCGAGCGUUAUCAGGAUUUAUUGGGUUUAAAGGGUGCGUAGGUGGUUAAUUAAGUCAGCGGUGAAAGUUUGGGGCUCAACUCUACAAUUGCCGUUGAUACUGGUUGACUAGAGUAUAGUUGAGGUAGGCGGAAUGUGUGGUGUAGCGGUGAAAUGCAUAGAUAUCACGCAGAACACCGAUUGCGAAGGCAGCUUACUAAACUAUAACUGACGCUGAAGCACGAAAGCGUGGGGAGCAAACAGGAUUAGAUACCCUUGUAGUC
rnacentral:rRNA from 1 species